rnacentral:ncRNA from 2 species
CCGACUCUCGCGGGAGAGAUCUUCCAAGGCCUCCGGGCCGCGGAGGGAGCCGAAGGCGCAACCGCCCCGGAAACGCUCAGGCAAAAGGACCGCGCGGGCUGA